rnacentral:rRNA from 1 species
AGAGUUUGAUCCUGGCUCAGGAUGAACGCUAGCGACAGGCCUAACACAUGCAAGUCGAGGGGCAACAUGGUAUCAGCUUGCUGAUACUGAUGGCGACCGGCGCACGGGUGAGUAACGCGUAUGUAAUCUACCUGUAACAGAGGGAUAACCCGGAGAAAUCCGGACUAAUACCUCAUAGCACAUAUUAUUCGCAUGAAUUUUAUGUUAAAGAGACUCGGUUACAGAUGAACAUGCGUUCCAUUAGCUAGUUGGCGGGGUCACGGCCCACCAAGGCAACGAUGGAUAGGGGUUCUGAGAGGAAGGUCCCCCACACUGGUACUGAGACACGGACCAGACUCCUACGGGAGGCAGCAGUGAGGAAUAUUGGUCAAUGGGCGGAAGCCUGAACCAGCCAAGUCGCGUGGAGGAAGACGGCCCUACGGGUUGUAAACUCCUUUUACCUGGGAAUAACGGGCGCUACGUGUAGCGCUGUGCAUGUACCGGGAGAAUAAGCAUCGGCUAAUUCCGUGCCAGCAGCCGCGGUAAUACGGAAGAUGCGAGCGUUAUCCGGAUUUAUUGGGUUUAAAGGGUGCGUAGGCGGAAGAAUAAGUCAGCGGUGAAAUGCUUCAGCUCAACUGGAGAAUUGCCGAUGAAACUGUUUUUCUAGAGUAUAAAAGAGGUAUGCGGAAUGCGUGGUGUAGCGGUGAAAUGCAUAGAUAUCACGCAGAACCCCGAUUGCGAAGGCAGCAUACUGGGCUAUAACUGACGCUGAAGCACGAAAGCGUGGGUAUCGAACAGGAUUAGAUACCCUGGUAGUCCACGCCGUAAACGAUGAAUACUAACUGUUUGCGAUAUAAUGUAAGCGGUACAGCGAAAGCGUUAAGUAUUCCACCUGGGGAGUACGCCGGCAACGGUGAAACUCAAAGGAAUUGAC